GGCUUAACACAUGCAAGUCGAGGGGCAGCAUGGUCUUAGCUUGCUAAGGCCGAUGGCGACCGGCGCACGGGUGAGUAACACGUAUCCAACCUGCCGUCUACUCUUGGACAGCCUUCUGAAAGGAAGAUUAAUACAAGAUGGCAUCAUGAGUCCGCAUGUUCACAUGAUUAAAGGUAUUCCGGUAGACGAUGGGGAUGCGUUCCAUUAGAUAGUAGGCGGGGUAACGGCCCACCUAGUCUUCGAUGGAUAGGGGUUCUGAGAGGAAGGUCCCCCACAUUGGAACUGAGACACGGUCCAAACUCCUACGGGAGGCAGCAGUGAGGAAUAUUGGUCAAUGGGCGAGAGCCUGAACCAGCCAAGUAGCGUGAAGGAUGACUGCCCUAUGGGUUGUAAACUUCUUUUAUAAAGGAAUAAAGUCGGGUAUGGAUACCCGUUUGCAUGUACUUUAUGAAUAAGGAUCGGCUAACUCCGUGCCAGCAGCCGCGGUAAUACGGAGGAUCCGAGCGUUAUCCGGAUUUAUUGGGUUUAAAGGGAGCGUAGAUGGAUGUUUAAGUCAGUUGUGAAAGUUUGCGGCUCAACCGUAAAAUUGCAGUUGAUACUGGAUAUCUUGAGUGCAGUUGAGGCAGGCGGAAUUCGUGGUGUAGCGGUGAAAUGCUUAGAUAUCACGAAGAACUCCGAUUGCGAAGGCAGCCUGCUAAGCUGCAACUGACAUUGAGGCUCGAAAGUGUGGGUAUCAAACAGGAUUAGAUACCCUGGUAGUCCACACGGUAAACGAUGAAUACUCGCUGUUUGCGAUAUACUGCAAGCGGCCAAGCGAAAGCGUUAAGUAUUCCACCUGGGGAGUACGCCGGCAACGGUGAAACUCAAAGGAAUUGACGGGGGCCCGCACAAGCGGAGGAACAUGUGGUUUAAUUCGAUGAUACGCGAGGAACCUUACCCGGGCUUAAAUUGCAGAUGAAUUACGGUGAAAGCCGUAAGCCGCAAGGCAUCUGUGAAGGUGCUGCAUGGUUGUCGUCAGCUCGUGCCGUGAGGUGUCGGCUUAAGUGCCAUAACGAGCGCAACCCUUGUUGUCAGUUACUAACAGGUUCCGCUGAGGACUCUGACAAGACUGCCAUCGUAAGAUGUGAGGAAGGUGGGGAUGACGUCAAAUCAGCACGGCCCUUACGUCCGGGGCUACACACGUGUUACAAUGGGGGGUACAGAGGGCCGCUACCACGCGAGUGGAUGCCAAUCCCCAAAACCUCUCUCAGUUCGGACUGGAGUCUGCAACCCGACUCCACGAAGCUGGAUUCGCUAGUAAUCGCGCAUCAGCCACGGCGCGGUGAAUACGUUCCCGGGCCUUGUACACACCGCCCGUCAAGCCAUGGGAGCCGGGGGUACCUGAAGUGCGUAACCGCGAGGAGCGCCCUAGGGUAAAACUGGUGACUGGGGCUAAAUC
rnacentral:rRNA from 1 species